rnacentral:rRNA from 1 species
GACGAACGCUGGCGGCGUGCUUAACACAUGCCAGUCGAACGGAAAGGCCCUGCUUGCAGGGUACUCGAGUGGCGAACGGGUGAGUAACACGUGGGUGAUCUGCCCUGCACUUCGGGAUAAGCCUGGGAAACUGGGUCUAAUACCGGAUAUGACCUUCCAUGUAGUGUGGGGGGUGGAAAGAUUUAUCGGUGUGGGAUGAGCCCGCGGCCUAUCAGCUUGUUGGUGGGGUAAUGGCCUACCAAGGCGUCGACGGGUAGCCGGCCUGAGAGGGUGGACGGCCACAUUGGGACUGAGAUACGGCCCAGACUCCUACGGGAGGCAGCAGUGGGGAAUAUUGCACAAUGGGCGGAAGCCUGAUGCAGCGACGCCGCGUGGGGGAUGACGGCCUUCGGGUUGUAAACCUCUUUCGACAGGGACGAAGCUUCGGUGACGGUACCUGUAGAAGAAGCACCGGCUAACUACGUG